GGCGGGCCUCCCCGCAUUGUGUGUCGGCCAACCUGGUCAGGUCCGGAAGGAAGCAGCCACAACUGAUUAUGCAAGUGCCGGGGGUUGGGCUCGCCUCU
rnacentral:SRP_RNA from 1 species